UUCUUCUUCUUCCCAUU
rnacentral:sRNA from 1 species